GAUGAAGAACGCAGCGAAAUGCGAUAAGUAAUGUGAAUUGCAGAAUUCAGUGAAUCAUCGAAUCUUUGAACGCACAUUGCGCCCGGUAGUAUUCUGCCGGGCAUGCCUGUUCGAGCGUCAUUUCAACCAUCAAGCUCCAGCGCUUGUGUUGGGGGCCUGCGGCUGCCGCAGCCCCCUAAAAGCAGUGGCGGGCUCGCUAUCACACCGAGUGCAGUAGUUCAUCUUCUCUCCGGUCUUGUGAGGCGGGUUCCGGCCGUGAAACACCCCACUACAUUCAAGGUUGACCUCGGAUCAGGUAGGAAUACCCGCUGAACUUAAGCAUAUCAAUAAGCAGAGGA
rnacentral:misc_RNA from 1 species